CAGCCUGAUCAGCAAUGCCGCGUGUGUGAAGAAGGCCUGCGGGUUGUAAAGCACUUUCAGUCGGGAAGAACAGGGGUUGGCGAACAGCCGGCCCGCUUGACGUAACCGGCAGAAGAAGCACCGGCUAACUCCGUGCCAGCAGCCGCGGUAAUACGGAGGGUGCGAGCGUUAAUCGGAAUUACUGGGCGUAAAGGGCGCGUAGGCGGCCAGAUCAGUCAGAUGUGAAAGCCCCGGGCUCAACCUGGGAACUGCAUUUGAUACUGUCUGGCUGGAGUUUGAUAGAGGGGAGUGGAAUUUCCGGUGUAGCGGUGAAAUGCGUAAAGAUCGGAAGGAACACCAGUGGCGAAGGCGACUCCCUGGAUUAAAACUGACGCUGAGGUGCGAAAGCGUGGGUAGCAAACAGGAUUAGAUACC
rnacentral:rRNA from 1 species